rnacentral:rRNA from 1 species
UUUAUGGAGAGUUUGAUCCUGGCUCAGGAUAAACGCUGGCGGCGUGCCUAAUACAUGCAAGUCGAGCGAACGGACGAGAAGCUUGCUUCUCUGAUGUUAGCGGCGGACGGGUGAGUAACACGUGGAUAACCUACCUAUAAGACUGGGAUAACUUCGGGAAACCGGAGCUAAUACCGGAUAAUAUUUUGAACCGCAUGGUUCAAAAGUGAAAGACGGUCUUGCUGUCACUUAUAGAUGGAUCCGCGCUGC